CACUUAUCAAGAAAGGCUGAGGGUAAUGGCCCGCAGACGCCUUGACAACCUCUCCUGGUUUUACCAGGAAAAGGUGCCAAUUCCAACCCCGGAAACGGGGACAGAUAAGUC
rnacentral:ncRNA from 2 species